UAUUAUUUUAUAUUUUCAUUUUAUUUUUUGUGACAUGAUUUUGAGUGUGCUGUUUUGUCUUGUCGUGGUUCGAGUUGAUCCUGGGCCGAGUUAACCCGUAAUUUUGUAAAUUUGGAUUAUUUCCCUUUGUUAUUGGAUGUAAAAAAAUUAGAGGAAAAUGUUUACUUGGCAAGACAGGGAAAUACCUCCUAAGCAGUUGUCACACACAAAUGCUUUUAAAAGAAAUAAAUAGAUAUAGAUAGGUGUAAGAAGAUAUGGUAUGAGUGCCAAUGAGACAACUUUCCAUCAAAGUCACAAUUUGUAAAGGAAACUUUUGGAGUACGCUCAACUAGACCAGAAUUAGCAUGUCCAUCAUCUUCAGUUUUGCAACAGUUGGAAGACAGAGAAUGGAAAGUCAGCUUAAAGAAGAAUCUAGAAAUUGCCUCAAGAGCUGUGUAUCUAGAAGAAAAAUGUUCUGAAUCUUUGGCCGCUGCUGACUUUACUUCACCAGAAACACCGUUUUUAUUUCAGUUAGAGAAAACCAUGUUAGAUCUGUCAUCACCCUCCCUUACUGAUGGAGAGUUUUACUGCUCCUUCUUUAAGCUUGAUGAUGUUUACUACUGUAGAUUUUUUGAAAGUGGAGUUCUUCAGGGAUAUCUCUUAUCUGAGGGUAU